rnacentral:rRNA from 1 species
UAAACGACUCUCGGCAACGGAUAUCUCGGCUCACGCAUCGAUGAAGAACGUAGCAAAAUGCGAUACUUGGUGUGAAUUGCAGAAUCCCGAUCCCCAUCGAGUUUUUGAACGCAAGUUGCGCCCGAAGCCACUCGGCCGAGGGCACGUCUGCCUGGGCGUCACGC